CAUUCAACAAUAUUGUGCAAGAUGACAAGGAACAAACAUUGAUGGCUGUCACUGGUGUGAGCUAGCUAGCUACAGUGAUCUUUAAAUGUACCACAGAAGAACCAAGAAAUGAAGAGCAACGCCACGGCUGACUUUUUUUUUUUAGCUUUUAUGUAGAUCUACAAUUAUAUUAUGAAAAGAGGAGACCGGAAGAUCAUCAGUCUCCAAUGCACCAUCUGACAAGUUGUUCUAUAGAGGAGCGUGAGGAAAGCAGUGUCGUCGGGAAACCCUCCAACCAUAUCAGGAGUAGAAGGCUGAGGCAGACCUUGGCAAGGCAACAGACGCAUUUCAGAUGGAGGACGGGAGAGAUGGUUUGUCAUGGAGUCCCCUGACUGACUAACAGACAGGUUGAUACAGAUGGAGUCCCCUGACUAACAGACAGGUUGAUACAGAUGGAGUCCCCUGACUAACAGACAGGUUGAUACANNNNNNNNNNAUAGCUUUGCGUUUAUAUUUUUGUUCAGUACAUUAAAAAUACUUCCUUAAAACUUCAAAUCGCUUCCAACCCAUAAGACUUUCUUGAAUACAACAAGCUGUUAUUGGUUCAACUGUCUAGGGGUCCUAGUUACAUGGUCUGUAACCUGACUGUCUAGGGUUCCUAGCUACAUGGUCUGUAACCUGACUCGUUAUGUCUAGGGGUCCUAGCUACAUGGUCUGUAACCUGACUGUCUAGGGUUCCUAGCUACAUGGUCUGUAACCUG
rnacentral:lncRNA from 13 species